GACGUAGGGCGCGAGCGUUGUCCGGAUUUAUUGGGCGUAAAGAGCUCGUAGGCGGCCUUCUAAGUCGAACGUGAAAUCCCCGGGCUCAACCCGGGAACUGCGUCCGAUACUGGAAGGCUUGAAUCCGGGAGAGGGAUGCGGAAUUCCAGGUGUAGCGGUGAAAUGCGUAGAUAUCUGGAGGAACACCGGUGGCGAAGGCGGCAUCCUGGACCGGCAUUGACGCUGAGGCGCGAAAGCCAGGGGAGCAAACGGG
rnacentral:rRNA from 1 species